GAAGAAGAAGGACUAUAUGUGCUACCAAGGGCAUGAAUAUUUGACCCAUACAAGUGGGAAAAAGGCUGUUUACCUUACGUGUCGCUAAAGAUGUGGUGGUAGGGCCAAAUUAAUGAUUGGCCUCGAUUUAAUUAUCACCAUUCAACAUUCCUUAGACUGUCAAAACUUAGUAGCUGCUCAAACAUCUAAUGCUAAUCAUGUCCCUCUAACUUCCAGUUCUGAUGCCAUAGCCCAUCAAAAUGUUACUUCAAAUCAAGCUCCACAAAUUAUAAAUUUUACUUCCCCUCUAACUUCCAGUUCUGAUGCCAUAGCCUAUCAAAA